AGGACGAACGCUGGCGGCGUGCUUAACACAUGCAAGUCGAACGAGGUGCUUGCACCUAGUGGCGAACGGGUGAGUAACACGUGAGCAACCUGCCCUUGGCUCUGGGAUAGCCUCCGGAAACGGGGAUUAAUACCGGACAUGACCUUGGUCUGCAUGGACUGAGGUGGAAAGUUUUUCGGCCAGGGAGGGGCUCGCGGCCUAUCAGCUUGUUGGGGGGGUAACGGCCCACCAAGGCGACGACGGGUAG
rnacentral:rRNA from 1 species